UGCUUGCACCUUUCAAGCGAGUGGCGAACGGGUGAGUAACACGUGGAUAACCUGCCUCAAGGCUGGGGAUAACAUUUGGAAACAGAUGCUAAUACCGAAUAAAACUUAGUAUCGCAUGAUACAAAGUUGAAAGGCGCUACGGCGUCACCUAGAGAUGGGUCCGCGGUGCAUUAGUUAGUUGGUGGGGUAAAGGCCUACCAAGACAAUGAUGCAUAGCCGAGUUGAGAGACUGAUCGGCCACAUUGGGACUGAGACACGGCCCAAACUCCUACGGGAGGCUGCAGUAGGGAAUCUUCCACAAUGGGCGAAAGCCUGAUGGAGCAACGCCGCGUGUGUGAUGAAGGCUUUAGGGUCGUAAAGCACUGUUGUAUGGGAAGAAAUGCUAGAAUAGGGAAUGAUUCUAGUUCGACGGUACCAUACCAGAAAGGGACGGCUAAAUACGUGCCAGCAGCCGCGGUAAUACGUAUGUCCCGAGCGUUAUCCGGAUUUAUUGGGCGUAAAGCGAGCGCAGACGGUUGAUUAAGUCUGAUGUGAAAGCCCGGAGCUCAACUCCGGAAUGGCAUUGGAAACUGGUUAACUUGAGUGUUGUAGAGGUAAGUGGAACUCCAUUGGUUAGC
rnacentral:rRNA from 1 species